UGGGGAAUAUUGCACAAUGGGCGCAAGCCUGAUGCAGCGACGCCGCGUGGGGGAUGACGGCCUUCGGGUUGUAAACCUCUUUCAGCAGGGACGAAGCGAAAGUGACGGUACCUGCAGAAGAAGCACCGGCCAACUACGUGCCAGCAGCCGCGGUAAUACGUAGGGUGCGAGCGUUGUCCGGAAUUACUGGGCGUAAAGAGCUCGUAGGUGGUUUGUCGCGUUGUUCGUGAAAACCGGGGGCUUAACCCUCGGCGUGCGGGCGAUACGGGCAGACUAGAGUACUGCAGGGGAGACUGGAAUUCCUGGUGUAGCGGUGGAAUGCGCAGAUAUCAGGAGGAACACCGGUGGCGAAGGCGGGUCUCUGGGCAGUAACUGACGCUGAGGAGCGAAAGCGUGGGGAGCGAACAGGAUUAGAUACCCUGGUAGUCCACGCCGUAAACGGUGGGUACUAGGUGUGGGUUUCCUUCCUUGGGAUCCGUGCCGUAGCUAACGCAUUAAGUACCCCGCCUGGGGAGUACGGCCGCAAGGCUAAAACUCAAAUGAAUUGACGGGGUCAUAGCUGUUUCCU
rnacentral:rRNA from 1 species